rnacentral:rRNA from 1 species
ACUGACUGCUAUCGGAUUGAUACUAAGCCAUGCGAGUCAUUGUAGUAAUACAAGGCAGACGGCUCAGUAACGCGUAGUCAACCUACCCUAUGGACGGGAAUAACCUCGGGAAACUGAGUAUAAUGCCCGAUAGAACACUAUACCUGGAAUGGUUUGUGUUCCAAAUGAUUUAUCGCCGUAGGAUGGGACUGCGGCCUAUCAGUUUGUUGGUGAGGUAAUGGCCCACCAAGACUAUUACAGGUACGGGCUCUGAGAGGAGUAGCCCGGAGAUGGGUACUGAGACACGGACCCAGGCCCUAUGGGGCGCAGCAGGCGAGAAAACUUUGCAAUGUGCGAAAGUACGACAAGGUUAAUCCGAGUGGUUUCUGCUAAAGGAACCUUUUGACAGUCCUAGAAACACUGUUGAAUAAGGGGUGGGCAAGUUCUGGUGUCAGCCCGCCGCGGUAAAACCAGCACCUCAAGUGGUCAGGAUGAUUAUUGGGCCUAAAGCAUCCCGUAGCCGGCUCUGUUAGUUUUCGGUUUAAAUCUGUACGCUCAACGUACAGGCUGCCGGGAAUACUGCAGAGCUAGGGAGUGGGAGAGGUAGACCGGUACUCGGUAGGAAGGGGUAAAAUCCUUUGAUCUAUUGAUGACCGCCCUGUGGCGAAAGGCGGGUCUACCAGAACACGUCCCGAC